AUUGAACGCUGGCGGCAGGCCUAACACAUGCAAGUCGAGCGAGCGGCGGACGGGUGAGUACUGUCUGGGAAACUGCCUGAUGGAGGGGGAUCACUACUGGAAACGGUAGCUAAUACCGCAUACCAUCAGAUGUGCCCAGAUGGGAUUAGCUAGAAGGUGGGGUAACGGCUCACCUAGGCGACGAUCCCUAGCUGGUCUGAGAGGAUGAUCAGCCACACUGGAACUGAGACACGGGCCAGACUCCUACGGGAGGCAGCAGUGGGGAAUAUUGCACAAUGGGCGCAAGCCUGAUGCAGCCAUGCCGCGUGUGUGAAGAAGGCCUUCGGGUUGUAAAGCACUUUCAGCGGGGAGGCGUUACCCGCCGAUGAAGCACCGGCUAACUCCGUGCCAGCAGCCGCGGUAAUAC
rnacentral:rRNA from 1 species